rnacentral:siRNA from 1 species
CGACGUGGGUGGUUCGCCGCCCGC